CCUACGGGAGGCAGCAGUGAGGAAUAUUGGUCAAUGGGCGCGAGCCUGAACCAGCCAAGUAGCGUGAAGGAUGACUGCCCUACGUGUUGUAAACUUCUUUUAUAAAGGAAUAAAGUGAGGCACGUGUGCCUUUUUGUAUGUAUUUUAUGAAUAAGGAUCGGCUAACUCCGUGCCAGCAGCCGCGGUAAUACGGAGGAUCCGAGCGUUAUCCGGAUUUAUUGGGUUUAAAGGGAGCGUAGAUGGGUUGUUAAGUCAGUUGUGAAAGUUUGCGGCUCAACCGUAAAAUUGCAAUGGAUACUGGCAGCCUUGAGUACAGUGGAGGUAGGCGGAAUUCGUGGUGUAGCGGUGAAAUGCUGAGAUAUCACGAAGAACACCGAUUGCGAAGGCAGCUUACUAAACUGCCACUGACAUUGAUGCUCGAAAGUGUGGGUAUCAAACAGGAUUAGAUACCCGGGUAGUC
rnacentral:rRNA from 1 species